GCUCAACUUUGAAAUCUCUCGGUUUCCCUGUGCGAAUUGUAGGUCUAAAGAAGCGUUUUCGGGGGCGGCUCGGGUAAAAGUCCUUUGGAACAAGGCAUCAGAGAGGGAUGAGAAUCCCGUACCUGACCCGGUGUUCGCUCCUAUGUGAUACGUCUUCAAAGAGUCGGAUAGCUUGGGAAUGCUGUCCAAAAUGGGUGGUAAAUACCAUCUAAGGCUAAUUAUUGGCGAGAGACCGAUAGCGAACAAGUACCGUGAGGGAAAGAUGAAAAGAACUUUGAAAAGAGAGUUAAACAGUACGUGAAAUUGUCUAAAGGGAAACGGCUUUGAAACCAGUAUUGCGCGUCAGAGAUCAGCCAUCCAUUAGGGUGGUGCACUCUCUGGCGUCGCGGGUCAGCAUCGGUUUUGCUUAAAGUAUAAAGCUUGAGGAAGGUGACCCCUUGUGGGUGUUAUAGCCUCAAGUCAUGCUUUGGGCGAGACCGAGGACCGCAGCCAUGCUAUUGGGGAAGCGGCCGCCUCUUUUUACGCGUUGCCAAACAACUUGUUGAUUGGUGGCGUCUUGUGAAUUGCGCACGGUCGUCUAACCACACCUUGGCUUAGGAUGCUGACGAAAUGGUUUUAAACCACCCGUCUUGAAACACGGACCAAGGAGUCCAACACAUAUGCGAGUCUUUGGGUGGCAAACCCACGGGCGUAAUGAAAGUGAAAGGGUACGAACUUUGUUGUGCAGUACCGACCGGUCUGGAUUUUUUUGAUGGAUCUGAGUAUGAGCAUAUGUGCUGGGACCCGAAAGAUGGUGAACUAUGCCUGGAUAGGGUGAAGCCAGAGG
rnacentral:rRNA from 1 species